rnacentral:rRNA from 1 species
AGCGAAAUACGUUAAAACUUUCAACAACGGAUCUCUUGGUUCUGGCAUCGAUGAAGAACGCAGCGAAAUGCGAUAAGUAAUGUGAAUUGCAGAAUUCAGUGAAUCAUCGAAUCUUUGAACGCACAUUGCGCCCAUUAGUAUUCUAGUGGGCAUGCCUG